GACGUGACUUCAGAGUUUGAUCCUGGCUCAGGAUGAACGCUGGCGGCGUGCUUAACACAUGCAAGUCGAACGGAGAUAUUUCGCUGAAGCGGAUUUAUCCAAUUCUUGAGAUAUCUUAGUGGCGGACGGGUGAGUAACGCGUGGGUAACCUGCCGUAUACAGGGGGAUAACACUUAGAAAUAGGUGCUAAUACCGCAUAAGCGCACGAGGUCGCAUGACCAUGUGUGAAAAACUCCGGUGGUAUACGAUGGACCCGCGUCUGAUUAGCUAGUUGGUGAGGUAAUGGCUCACCAAGGCGACGAUCAGUAGCCGGCCUGAGAGGGUGAACGGCCACAUUGGAACUGAGACACGGCCCAA
rnacentral:rRNA from 1 species